AGCAGCCGCGGUAAUUCCAGCUCCAAUAGCGUAUAUUAAAGUUGUUGCAGUUAAAAAGCUCGUAGUUGAAUUUCGAGAUCGGCUUACUGGUCGUGCUUUUGUACGUACUGGUAUAAUCGGUUUCUCCUUUCUGACGAACUAUAAUGCCAUUAAUUUGGUGUUAUAGGGAAUCAGGACUGUUACUUUGAAAAAAUUAGAGUGUUUAAAGCAGGCUCACGCUUGAAUACAUUAGCAUGGAAUAACGGAAUAGGACGUUUGAUUCUAUUUUGUUGGUUUCUAGGAUCGACGUAAUGAUUAAUAGGGAUAGUUGGGGGCAUUAGUAUUCAAUUGUCAGAGGUGAAAUUCUUGGAUUUAUUGAAGACUAACUACUGCGAAAGCAUUUGCCAAGGAUGUUUUCAUUAAUCAAGAACGAAAGUUAGGGGAUCGAAGACGAUCAGAUACCGUCGCAGUCUUAACCAUAAACUAUGCCGACUAGGGAUCGGAUGAUGUAAUUUUUAAUGACUCAUUCGGCGCCUUACGG
rnacentral:rRNA from 1 species